AGGUUAAGCUACUAAGUGCACACGGUGGAUGCCUUGGCGCUAGGAGCCGAUGAAGGACGGGACGAACUCCGAUAAGCUUCGGGGAGCUGUAAGUAAGCUUUGAUCCGGAGAUUUCCGAAUGGGGCAACCCACCAGCUUGAAGAGCUGGUACCGCCACCUGAAUCCAUAGGGUGGUCGGGGGCAGACCAGGGGAACUGAAACAUCUAAGUACCCUGAGGAAGAGAAAGCAAACGCGAUUCCCUGAGUAGCGGCGAGCGAAACGGGAACAGCCCAAACCGAUGGCCUUGUGCCAUCGGGGUUGUAGGACGUCUCACACGGAGUCACAAAGGGAGCGAAUAGGUGAACUGGUCCUGGAAAGGCCGGCAAUAUAAGGUAACAGCCCUGUAACCGAAAUUCGUUCCCCUCCGAGACGGAUCCUGAGUACCGCGGGACACGUGAAACCCCGUGGGAAGCUGGGAGGACCACCUCCCAAGGCUAAAUACUCCCUAGCGACCGAUAGUGAACCAGUACCGUGAGGGAAAGGUGAAAAGCACCCCGGGAGGGGAGUGAAAGAGAACCUGAAACCGUGUGCUUACAACCAGUCGGAGUCCCCUUGAGGGAUGACGGCGUGCCUUUUGUAGAAUGAACCGGCGAGUAACGGUUGCGUGCAAGGUUAAGGUGAGAAGCUGGAGCCGUAGCGAAAGCGAGUCUGAAUAGGGCGCUUCAGUACGUAGUCGUUGACCCGAAACCGGGUGAUCUACCCAUGUCCAGGAUGAAGUUCCGGUAACACGGAAUGGAGGUCCGAACCUGUUGGUGUUGAAAAACCAUAGGAUGAGGUGUGGGUAGGGGUGAAAUGCCAAUCGAACCCGGAGAUAGCUGGUUCUCCCCGAAAUAGCUUUAGGGCUAGCCUCGGAUCAAGAGUCAUGGAGGUAGAGCACUGAUUGGGCUAGGGGCCCCCACAGGGUUACCGAACUCAGUUAAACUCCGAAUGCCAUCGACUCAUUUUUUUUUUUUUUUUUUUUUUUUUUUUUUUUUUUUUUUUUUUUUUUUUUUUUUUUUUUUUUUUUUUUUUUUUUUUUUUUUUUUUUUUUUUUUUUUUUUUUUUUUUUUUUUUUUUUUUUUUUUUUUUUUUUUUUUUUUUUUUUUUUUUUUUUUUUUUUUUUUUUUUUUUUUUUUUUUUUUUUUUUUUUUUUUUUUUUUUUUUUUUUUUUUUUUUUUUUUUUUUUUUUUUUUUUUUUUUUUUUUUUUUUUUUUUUUUUUUUUUUUUUUUUUUUUUUUUUUUUUUUUGAGAAGUGGUGGAGCGCUUGGAAGUGAGAAUGCCGGUAUGAGUAGCGAAAAGAGGGGUGAGAAUCCCCUCCACCGUAAGCCUAAGGUUUCCUGAGGAAGGUUCGUCCGCUCAGGGUUAGUCGGGACCUAAGCUGAGGCCGAAAGGCGUAGGCGAUGGACAACAGGUUGAUAUUCCUGUACCACCUAUUUUCGUUUGUACGAUGGGGGGACGCAGGAGGGUAGGGAAUCGCGCGACUGGAAGUGCGCGUCCAAGCAGUGAGGCCGAAAGGAUAGGCAAAUCCGUCCUUUCUAUAGGCUAGGCUGUGAUGGCGAGGGAAAUCAUCAGUACCGAAGUUCCUGAUCUCACACUGCCAAGAAAAGCCUCUAGGAGAAAAUAGGUGCCCGUACCGCAAACCGACACAGGUAGGCGAGGAGAGAAUCCUAAGGUGCUCGGGAAAACUCUCGUUAAGGAACUCGGCAAAAUGACCCCGUAACUUCGGGAGAAGGGGUGCCCCGGUAGGGUGAAUAGCCCGAGGGGGCCGCAGUGAAGAGGUCCAGGCGACUGUUUAGCAAAAACACAGGUCUCUGCUAAGCCGCAAGGCGAUGUAUAGGGGCUGACGCCUGCCCGGUGCUGGAAGGUUAAGGGGAAGGGUUAGCGCAAGCGAAGCUCUGAACCGAAGCCCCAGUAAACGGCGGCCGUAACUAUAACGGUCCUAAGGUAGCGAAAUUCCUUGUCGGGUAAGUUCCGACCCGCACGAAAGGCGUAACGAUCUGGACGCUGUCUCAACGAGAGACCCGGUGAAAUUGUACUGCCAGUGAAGAUGCUGGCUACCCGCGACAAGACGGAAAGACCCCGUGGAGCUUUACUGUAGCCUGAUAUUGAAUCUAGGUACGACUUGUACAGGAUAGGUGGGAGUCUGAGAAACCGGAGCGCCAGCUUCGGUGGAGACGCCGGUGGGAUACCACUCUGGUCGUAUCGGGGUUCUAACUCGCCGCCGUCAUCCGGCGGGAGGACCGUGUCAGGUGGGCAGUUUGACUGGGGCGGUCGCCUCCUAAAAAGUAACGGAGGCGCUCUAAGGUUCCCUCAGCGCGGUCGGAAAUCGCGCUCUAGAGUGCAAAGGCAGAAGGGAGCUUGACUGCGAGACCUACAAGUCGAGCAGGGACGAAAGUCGGACUUAGUGAUCCGGUGGUUCCGAGUGGAAGGGCCAUCGCUCAACGGAUAAAAGCUACCCCGGGGAUAACAGGCUUAUCUCCCCCAAGAGUCCACAUCGACGGGGAGGUUUGGCACCUCGAUGUCGGCUCAUCGCAUCCUGGGGCUGUAGUAGGUCCCAAGGGUUGGGCUGUUCGCCCAUUAAAGCGGUACGCGAGCUGGGUUCAGAACGUCGUGAGACAGUUCGGUCCCUAUCUGUCGUGGGCGUAGGAAAUUUGAGAGGAGCUGUCCUUAGUACGAGAGGACCGGGAUGGACGCACCUCUGGUGUACCAGUUGUUCCGCCAGGAGCACCGCUGGGUAGCCAAGUGCGGACGGGAUAAGCGCUGAAAGCAUCUAAGCGCGAAGCCCCCCUCAAGAUGAGAUUUCCCAUUCCCCUGUGGAAGUAAGACCCCUUGUAGAUGACGAGGUUGAUCGGUCCGAGGUGUAAGCGCAGCAAUGCGUUUAGCUGACGGAUACGAAUCGGUCGAGGGCUUAUCCUA
rnacentral:rRNA from 1 species